CUUAUAAUUUUUCAUCUUGUCACUCUACGUGAUAAUUCUCUAAUAUAAUUUUAAGAUUCAUUUUUCCAAGUUCUUUCUUAAAAUAACCUAGAGAGAUCAUUUGGUUAAAUGUCAGUUGAGAUGAAGUAAUAUUCUUCAGUUACUUGUUAUUUCAAAUAUACUGUUUGUUACCACAAUGGCCAAGCUUGUAUACUGACUGAUAUUUAAGUACUAGUGCCGUAUGGAGGUGUUAAUAACAAGGAUUAUUUUGAUGUGUGUGGCUGGCGGAUACUUUCACCAUCAGCAAUUUAUGCAUCUAAGUUCGCACCUCCAGUCUCUCACUACAAUUACCAGUGUAACAAUCUAAAUUGAUUGAUAUAUUAACUUUUCUUUCUUGAAGAAGAAGAACCAGCAUCCAGCACCAUGAUAAAGAAUGCAGUAUAAUACAAUAAUAAAUAAUAUUGCAGUGUCUUACGAAGUUUGCAGGCUAUGAUACAUCCAGGCAUCAAUGCAGGAUAAAGCAAUUUAGAAAUGAAAGAAACUGUCUUCCUUUCCAGAAGAUAUAUUGUAAAAACUUUUAUACAAACAUAUAUUGUUGUCUGACAUACACACAAUACGUCCACCCAGAACCAUGGAUGGGAACAGAGAGAUAGUUGAAGAGUCAAAAUUUUGAUAUCGGCUUAAGGAAACAUUAGAGUACAUACAGGGGAUAGGCAAAAUAAUGUGAACAGCGGUAGUAAUAUGAUGGUUGCAUUUGGCAGUCAACAAUGCAGGUUGUUUACAAGAAGUGCACACUUGGAGUUUGCAUUCCGAGGCUGAGGUCGAUGCGCAAUGAAAGACCUAACAUAGUUCCAAAGAGGGCAGAUUAUGGAGGCUGAUUAGCAUGGAAAGACAUCAACAUGUAAAUGUAUAGUG